rnacentral:rRNA from 1 species
CAGGAUGAACGCUAGCGAUAGGCCUAACACAUGCAAGUCGAGGGGCAGCACAUGAGUGGCAAUACGAUGGUGGCGACCGGCGCACGGGUGAGUAACACGUAUGCAACCUACCUUUAACAGGGGAAUAACCGUUGAAAAACGGACUAAUACUCCAUAACACAGGGGUCCCGCAUGGGAAUAUUUGUUAAAGAUUAAUCGGUUGAAGAUGGGCAUGCGUUCCAUUAGCUUGUUGGUGAGGUAACGGCUCACCAAGGCCACGAUGGAUAGGGGAACUGAGAGGUUUAUCCCCCACACUGGAACUGAGACACGGUCCAGACUCCUACGGGAGGCAGCAGUGAGGAAUAUUGGUCAAUGGAGGCAACUCUGAACCAGCCAAGUCGCGUAGAAGGAUGAAGGUCUUAUGGAUUGUAAACUUCUUUUGCAAGGGAAUAAAGUGGGGGACGUGUCCUCCUUUGCAUGUACCUUGCGAAUAAGGAUCGGCUAACUCCGUGCCAGCCGCGGC